CACACUGGGACUUCACCUUGAAAAGGAAGCGAAGAGAGAAAGACGAUGAUGUUGUAAGCCUCUGCAGUCUUGACAUUAAGGUGUGCCUGAACUGUUUGUUAGCAACCAAAUCAUUGCCUUACGCUAUCUGACAAGGAAGAGGCAAAAGUCACUUGAGUGCCAGAAGUAAGAUGAUACUGU